UAUUUGACAGCUCAUUUGAUUGAUUUGUUUUUUCCCACGUUGCCUUCUAGGUUAGACAAAUAUGCAUGAACAUUUUUCCUAUCUCCUACGAUAGUAUUCUUGAUAGCUGCUAUAGUCUCUUCGAUUUCUAUGUUGUGCUUGAAGAUUUCAAAUUCAUCUUCCUCUGAUUGGUCUGAGUGAAGGUUCCAGGAUGAGUGAAGUCAUUGCAUGGAAAGAGAUAUGAAAGUUUGCUGCUAGGAUUUUAGGCUCUUGGCAAUUCCAAAUUCCUAAGAUCACUACGGUGCUUCCACCUCUUUCUGAUUCUGUUCGAAGGUCUAUGUGGUUCGUGACUUGCUUGGGCGCUUCAGUGUUCGUGAAAAGGUCCUGGUGUGUUAGGACUUCCUUUGGUGCUGGUGUUUCUGCUACAGCUCUGCACCCUUUUUGUUUCUUUACUGCCUUUGUCUAAGCUACUUUGCAAAUAUUCACAAAUUGUUUGGAACUAUUACCUACAUUCUUUUGGGAAUUUUAAUUCUACAGUGAUAAGAACGAGCGGCCAAGUAAAUCCAAACCUGAUAUUUGUAUUUGCACCCUGUUGUAGUUUAAAAUGCUUGCUCGAGCAUAUGAGGAUUGAGUAUGAUGGUUGGCCACCAAUUUGUUCUAGCUGAUUUAAUUUCAAUGGAACUGAACUGAUUGCAUCCAAAAGAACAUAUUUGAA